UACGGAGGGGGCUAGCGUUGUUCGGAAUUACUGGGCGUAAAGCGCACGUAGGCGGCUUUGUAAGUUAGAGGUGAAAGCCCAGGGCUCAACCCUGGAAUUGCCUUUAAGACUGCAUCGCUUGAACAUCGGAGAGGUAAGUGGAAUUCCGAGUGUAGAGGUGAAAUGCGUAGAUAUCAGGAGGAACACCGGUGGUGUAGACGGCUUACUGGACCACGACUGACACUGAGGCACGAAAGCGUGGGUAGCAAACAGG
rnacentral:rRNA from 1 species